UACAGAGGGUGCGAGCGUUAAUCGGAAUUACUGGGCGUAAAGCGCGCGUAGGCGGCUUUGCAAGUCGGGUGUGAAAUCCCCAGGCUUAACCUGGGAACUGCAUUCGAGACUGCAUUGCUAGAGUAUGGGAGAGGGAAGUGGAAUUUCCGGUGUAGCGGUGAAAUGCGUAGAUAUCGGAAGGAACAUUAGUGGCGAAAGCGACUUCCUGGACCAAUACUGACGCUCAUGUGCGAAAGCGUGGGGAGCAAACAGG
rnacentral:rRNA from 1 species